GCAGGUGCUGUGUUAGAGGUUAAGUGGCAGGUGCUGUGUUAGAGGUUAAGUGGCAGGUGCUGUGUUAGAGGUUAAGUGGCAGUGCUGUGUUAGAGGUUAAGUGGCAGGUGCUGUGUUAGAGGUUAAGUGGCAGGUGCUGUGUUAGAGGUUAAGUGUGCAGUGUGCUGU